rnacentral:rRNA from 2 species
GAACGAGUGGCGGACGGGUGAGUAACACGUGGGUAACCUGCCCUUAAGUGGGGGAUAACAUUUGGAAACAGAUGCUAAUACCGCAUAAAUCCAAGAACCGCAUGGUUCUUGGCUGAAAGAUGGCGUAAGCUAUCGCUUUUGGAUGGACCCGCGGCGUAUUAGCUAGUUGGUGAGGUAACGGCUCACCAAGGCAAUGAUACGUAGCCGAACUGAGAGGUUGAUCGGCCACAUUGGGACUGAGACACGGCCCAAACUCCUACGGGAGGCAGCAGUAGGGAAUCUUCCACAAUGGACGCAAGUCUGAUGGAGCAACGCCGCGUGAGUGAAGAAGGCUUUCGGGUCGUAAAACUCUGUUGUUGGAGAAGAAUGGUCGGCAGAGUAACUGUUGUCGGCGUGACGGUAUCCAACCAGAAAGCCACGGCUAACUACGUGCCACAGCCCGCGGUAAUACAAA